UCGCGGCGCGUGGCGGCUCAUGGCCCUCACCGCCGUCAUGGUCCUUGUCCCUCAGGCUACCAUGGAGGCCGCAGCGGCACCGCGACCCCGCCGGCAGCGCCCGGACCCCGCCGGGACCGCGGAAACGCCUCCCCGCAGAAAGAUGUCGUGAAGUAAAGAAGCUGGGCCUUCCACCUGAGUGUGACACAGCAGGAGCAG